AGAACCAUCGCGAACUUAUCCAAGUUGCUUCGGCGGCGCGGCUCCCCUCACGGGGGAUAGCAGCCCCCGCCUCUCUGAGGUCAGGGGCGGCCGCCGGAGGUACUUAACUCUGUAUUACAAUGUUAUCCCUGAGAAUCCAACAAAUAAGUUAAAAUGUUCGUCAAAAGGUCUCUUGGUUUCGGAUCCGUGGAAGAAUGCUACCAAAUGCAAUGAGUAAUGUGAAAUGCAAAAAUCAGCGAAUCAUCGAAUCUUUGAACGUUAUCGCGCCCGCUAGAACUUUCCGGGCAUGCCUGUUCAAACAUCCUUUCAACCCUCAUUCUCUUCUUGGGGUUGGUGCUCUAAGACUGACGUAUGACCUGAAAUUUCGUGGCUCGCUCGCUUCACCUUUGACCCUAGUAAUUCAUUAGCUGCGUACGCAAGUGUGGGGUUCUCCGCCCCCU
rnacentral:rRNA from 1 species